rnacentral:rRNA from 1 species
ACAACUUUNGGCAACGNAUAUUUUGGCUUUUGCAUCAAUAAAAAACCCAC